UCUGAUGUGAAAGCCCACCGCUCAUCCGUGGAGGGUCAUUGGAAACUGGGGAACUUGAGUGCAGAAGAGAAAAGCGGAAUUCCACGUGUAGCGGUGAAAUGCGUAGAGAUGUGGAGGAACACCCGCGGCGAAGGCGGCUUUUUGGUCUGUAACUGACUCUGAGGCGCGAAAGCGUGGGGAGCAAACAGGAUUAAAUACCCUGGUAGUCCACGC
rnacentral:rRNA from 1 species